GACGAACGCUGGCGGCGUGCUUAACACAUGCAAGUCGAACGGACAGACAGGGAGCUUGCUCUCUUGAAGUUAGUGGCGAACGGGUGAGUAACGCGUAAUCAACCUGCCCUUCAGAGGGGGAUAACAACGGGAAACCGUUGCUAAUACCGCGUAUGAUUCAUGAACGGCAUCGUUAAUGAAUGAAAGGCGGCCUCUAUGUAUAAGCUAUCGCUGAAGGAGGCAAUUGCGUCGGAUUGGCUAGUUGGAGGGGUAACGGCCCACCAAGGCAAGGAACAGUGCCCGGUCUGUGAGGAUGAACGGCAACAUUGUGACGGAGACACGGCCCGAGCUCCUACGGGAGGCAGCAGUGGGGAAUCUGCCGCAAUGGACGAAAGUCUGACGGAGCAACGCCGCGUGAGUGACGAAGGUCUUCGGAUUGUAAAGCUCUGUUAAUCGGGACGAGAGAGUUCUGCGUGAAUAAUGCAGAAAAGUGACGGUACCGGAAUAGAAAGCCACGGCUAACUACGUGCCAGCAGCCGCCGCGG
rnacentral:rRNA from 1 species